AAGACGCGAAAGGGGAACAGAGCGUUAGGGGAGGAGGCUGUCGCGGCGUCUCAGGGGGCUGGCGGGCCUGUGUGGUGGCGGUGAGGUCGUGCGGACGCCUGGCCCAGUCCCUGGCCGGCGAUCGCGAUCGGCGGUCAUGGCCACCCGGGCUGCUCGUGUCUCCGAGGGGACGCUCCGCGCUGCUCUGACCGCGAGCGGUUAGGUGUCGCCCGCGCCUCUUUCUGGGGGCUAGGACGUCCCUGGCCCAGCGCGUGUCCGGAGUAGACAGUGGGACCCUCCGUAGCCCCUGCAGAAACGAGUCUGAGGCACAGAAGACGGGAGGUCAGCCCAGCCGGGGCUCCGCACUGCCUCCCUGCCCUUCCCAUGCCACCGUCUCCCCUCAAACCACGGCUCGGCUUCUGACCUCCCCCAAGCCGCUAGAGACCCCAUCUGGUGAGCUUUCCUGCCCGCCCCCUCGCGGUGAGUGACUGCAACACUGUGCCUGCUCGCCAGGGGUCGCAAAGUCCCGGCUCCAGGGGUCAGAACUGACAUUACAUUGAAACAAAGAGCAGGUGAAAGCUCUUCCUGGACCUACCCAGCUGCCCUAUCCAGCCUGGAGAUCCAAAGUGGGUGAUGGAUGGACUGCACAAUGUGGAGCCUUAUAGCCAGUGCAAAAAGUCGUGAAUGCUGAAACAGAUGCCCCAGCAACUGCCACUGGCAAAAGAACAAGGGCGUUUGCCUCCCUUCAAUCUUCCAAAUCAUGGGUGUGUGAUUGAUCAGUCUGAAUCCAGAACCUUGCUGGCCAGGGGCAUUUUACCAUGCAGAUUCUGGUUGUCAGAUUUUGAAGACUAUUAUCUUUAUGAAGACAGGAACUAGAUUUACUUGAAUCAACAUUGGAACCUCACUACAGAACACUGAUAUAAGUGCUAAUUAAUAUCAGUAUAUGCCUAGUAUAUAAUGUUGAAACUAAAGCAACAGACAGACAAAAGGAAAUUGCCCAAAGUCACACAGGAAGUGGCAGAGGAGAUUAAAACCCAGGCCAUCUGAUGCUAAAGUCCUCAUCUAACCUUUGUGUUAUCCUGUCUCUCCAGGGUGCACCACAGGCCUUUCAUUCCAAAGACUGGAUAAAGAGAGGAUUUGGAGUCCAAGAGCUGAGAACCACAGAGGACUGAAGAGUGAGGAUUCUCAGAUUCACGGAGGACUUCUGGCAGGAUGAUGCCAUCAGCCUUCUUCCAGAUGGGCCCAAGAAGAGCCAGGAGCGUUGGCAAAAUCUCUGCAUCCCCCUGGCAUCCCGACAAGCAGCAUGGGGUGGUGGAAAUCUCCAAGUGGGAGUCAAGAGCCUCAUUGGAGCAACAGGAUUAUAGACCCAUUGAGAGCAGGGAUGUGGCCAUUCUUGUGUACCUCCUCCCCCCCUGCUACAGCCCUGGACAACAGUCCAGUGACCGAGACAACACUCCAGUGACCCAGACAACACUUCGGUGAGCCAAGCAUAGAGUGCAAGUCUUCUCCACGCCUGCGAACUGGCUGGGUCACUUACCAGUGUGUGACCUUGGGGCGUCCCCUGAUCUCUCAACUUCCUUGUCUGGAAGCUGGGGCUAUGAACACACCUGUUUUACGGAACCGUGACAAAUAAAGGAGAUACUAUGCACAGAAGUACCUCGCACUGUCUUCCCAGCUAAGCCCAGGCUGUCUUCCUCCAAUUACAUAAUUGGGUAUUUAAUUACCACUGAGAACAACUAGUUCCAGGCCAUAUGCAUGUAUGGAGGAAAUCGGAUGUAAGUUCAGGUCCUCCUGACUCUAAAACCUGAACUCCAGCUGCCUGUGCGGUUAGAACAUUGUUCCCAAAGUGUGGUCUGCAGAACUCCACUCCUACUGAAUGUUACAAGGAAAUAUCCCCUGUUCUCAGGGGAUAUUUGCUUUUGUCUUGAGAUCUACUGGAAGAAUGGUGGUGAAGAAAUGAGACCUUCAUAAAGGAGAAACUGAGGCCUCUACCAGCAAGACGUGAAUGAGUGAUCUUGGAAGUAGAUCCUUCAGAUGAGUGCAGCCCUGGCUAACAUCUUGAUGACAACCUCCUGAGAGACCCCGAGCUAUGCUGUCCCCUGAAACUGCUCCCUGAUUCCUGACUCUCCAAAACUAUGUGAGAUAAUAAAUGUUUGUUGUGUCAAGCUGCUAAUUUGUAGCAAUUGAAAACUAAUACAGCAGUGUUUUUUUAAAAAAAAUGAACGGUAUCUAUUAUAAUUUCUAAUUCUUUGUUUCUAGAAUAUAGAAAUUCUAUUUUUUUUAUAGACCUUGUAUCCUGUGUCCUUGCUGAAAUCAGCUCUUUUGCAGAUAUUUUAGGAUUUUCUGCAUAGGCAAUCAUGUCAUCUGUGACAAAGACAGUUUUACUUCUUUUCAAAUAUGCAUGCCUUUUAUUUAUUCUACUGCCUUAUUAA